UACGGGGGGGGCAAGCGUUGUUCGGAAUUACUGGGCGUAAAGGGCUCGUAGGCGGCCAACUAAGUCCGACGUGAAAUCCCCAGGCUUAACCUGGGAACUGCGUCGGAUACUGGAUGGCUUGAAUUCGGGAGAGGGAUGUGGAAUUCCAGGUGUAGCGGUGAAAUGCGUAGAUAUCUGGAGGAACACCGGUGGCGAAGGCGGCAUCCUGGACCGAGAUUGACGCUGAUGCGCGAAAGCCAGGGGAGCAAACGGG
rnacentral:rRNA from 1 species